rnacentral:ncRNA from 2 species
UUCUUAUCGAGAGUGGCGGAGGGACUGGCCCUGUGAUGCCACGGCAACCGCUUCCAGCCGAGCAGAGCACUCAAGCUCUCCGAGGCGGGAAGGCCCAGGUGCCAAAUCCUGCUCUGGCGCGAAAGCGUCGGGGAAAAGAUGAGGA